UGGGGAAUAUUGGGCAAUGGGCGCAAGCCUGACCCAGCAACGCCGCGUGAGGGAAGAAGGUUUUCGGAUUGUAAACCUCUGUCCUAUGGGACGAAAAAAAUGACGGUACCAUAGGAGGAAGCCCCGGCUAACUACGUGCCAGCAGCCGCGGUAAUACGUAGGGGGCAAGCGUUGUCCGGAAUUACUGGGCGUAAAGGGAGCGUAGGCGGCCACUUAAGUCAGAUGUGAAAUACUCGUGCUCAACAUGAGGGGUGCAUUUGAAACUGGGAGGCUUGAGUGCAGGAGAGGGAAGCGGAAUUCCUAGUGUAGCGGUGAAAUGCGUAGAUAUUAGGAGGAACACCAGUGGCGAAGGCGGCUUUCUGGACUGUAACUGACGCUGAGGCUCGAAAGCGUGGGGAGCAAACA
rnacentral:rRNA from 1 species